GGGCUCCCCCCGUGGCCGUCGCCAGUACUGCAGCGUCAGUCUCCGGGGCAGGUGAGCGACCAGCUGGUGGAGAUCAAUGGGGAGCCCACGCUGGGCAUGACGCACGCCCGGGCCGUGGAGCAGAUCCGCCGGGGGGGCAGCCGCAUCCGCCUGGUGCUCAGGAAAGGCGACGGCUUCGUCCCUGACUUCGACCGUGAGCACAUCCCCAGCCCCGCCGGGCGGGACCGGAUGCCAGAGGGUGGAUCGGCACCACACGGCUGGAGAGCAGACACGGACGAGAGGUCUCCAUGCUGGGGACGGGACGCCAGGUCCUGCCUGGAGGCUUCUCCCAGCAGCGCUGAGCGAGGAUCCCACCGCUGCCACCAACGCGGGUCCCGGGACCAUCGGGGCGCAGAGCAGGGCUGGCCAGCAUCGGGGAAGGAGGCAGAGGCGGAGGCCAGGAAGGGAGAGAGCGGGUCCCUCUCCCCCCAGAGGGAGCAGGUCUGGAGGGGCCUCUCGGAACCAGCCCCUGGGCCCUGGCUGGUGCCCAGCAAGGAGCGCCUCUCACGGGCCCUGAGGGGCGUCUGCAUGGGGGAGGCAGAGGACGACGAAGGGGGCAGCCUGGGGCAGGGCAAAGGCGGAGAGGUGAGAAGGAGGACCUAGUCCAGCCCCGCCCAGCGCAGGAUGUUCUCAGUGCCUGGGAGAGUCCACCCACCCCUCAUCUGGAUGUGCAAUGGUACCUUCCAUUCUCCUCACCACCCCUUCAACCAGGGCCCAGCUAUGUAGUGGUACUCUCCACUCUUGUUCCCCUUCCCAUUUUGACUAAUGGUACUGUCUAAUCUACUCAGCGUGGUACCUGCCAUUUCUUCCCCCCUCCCCCCAUCAGCUAUGCAGUGGUAUAAUCCUCUCCUGUCCCCUACCCUCUGGGUUGUGAAAUGGUACCUUCCAUUCGUCUUGUGUGUGUCUCCCCCCCCCUGCCAUUCAAUGAAUGGUACUUUCCUCUCUCCCCUCCCCCAUUCACAAUCUGCACUGAUACCUUCUACUCUGCUGGUAACCUUCCCCCCCACUAGUCUGUGCAAUGGUGCUGUCCACUAGUGCCCUCUUUGGCAAUGGUAUUGUCCACUGGUAAUUUUGCAUACCCCAUGUCAGGAUUGCAAUGGUAUUGUCCACUCUACCUUGCCAACACUCUUCACAGAGCCACACAUGGACUGACCCAUUCCAUGGAGGGGGAGGAAAUUGAGCUAAUCCAUUCCAUCGUGGGGGGGGGAGAGCCUCUCCCUGCAUAGAGCAAUGUCCGAUGGACUGAUCCAUAGGGGGUGGGAGCCACCACAUGUGGCUUGAUCCACUCCAUCGAUGGGGGAGUGUGUGGAAUGGGCCGAUCCAUUCCACCAAAAGGAGGGUGAGUGCUCUAGCACAGCUCAAAGACACACGCAGACUGAUCCAUUCCAUGGGGGGGGGGGCGGAAUGGACCCAACCAUUCCCUUGAGGUGGGAGAAUCACCAAGGGCCAAACCAUUUCAUGGAGCAGGGAGAAAUAGACCAAUCCAUUACAGGCUCACAUGUGGACGGAUCCAUUCUGUGCGGCAGUGGGGGGGGGGGAAAUCACAGAUGACCUAUUCCAGGGAGGGAGGAGGAAUGGAUCGAGAUGUGGGGGAGAUGGGAAA
ensembl:lncRNA